AUGAACGCUGGCGGCGUGCCUAAUACAUGCAAGUCGAGCGAACAGACGAGGAGCUUGCUCCUCUGACGUUAGCGGCGGACGGGUGAGUAACACGUGGAUAACCUACCUAUAAGACUGGGAUAACUUCGGGAAACCGGAGCUAAUACCGGAUAAUAUAUUGAACCGCAUGGUUCAAUAGUGAAAGACGGUUUUGCUGUCACUUAUAGAUGGAUCCGCGCCGCAUUAGCUAGUUGGUAAGGUAACGGCUUACCAAGGCAACGAUGCGUAGCCGACCUGAGAGGGUGAUCGGCCACACUGUAACUGAGACACGGUCCAGACUCCUACGGGAGGCAGCAGUAGGGAAUCUUCCGCAAUGGGCGAAAGCCUGACGGAGCAACGCCGCGUGAGUGAUGAAGGUCUUCGGAUCGUAAAACUCUGUUAUUAGGGAAGAACAAAUGUGUAAGUAACUAUGCACGUCUUGACGGUACCUAAUCAGAAAGCCACGGCUAACUACGUG
rnacentral:rRNA from 1 species